GAUGAACGCUGGCGGCGUGCCUAAUACAUGCAAGUCGAGCGAAUGGAUUAAGAGCUUGCUCUUAUGAAGUUAGCGGCGGACGGGUGAGUAACACGUGAGUAACCUGCCCUUGACUCUGGGAUAACUGCUAGAAAUGGUAGCUAAUACCGGAUACGACCCUCGGCGGCAUCGCCAGGGGGUGGAAAGAAUUUCGGUCAAGGAUGGACUCGCGGCCUAUCAGCUAGUUGGUGAGGUAACGGCUCACCAAGGCGACGACGGGUAGCCGGCCUGAGAGGGUGACCGGCCACACUGGGACUGAGACACGGCCCAGACUCCUACGGGAGGCAGCAGUGGGGAAUAUUGCACAAUGGGCGCAAGCCUGAUGCAGCAACGCCGCGUGAGGGAUGACGGCCUUCGGGUUGUAAACCUCUUUUAGUAGGGAAGAAGCGAAAGUGACGGUACCUGCAGAAAAAGCACCGGCUAACUACGUGCCAGCCGCCGCGGUAA
rnacentral:rRNA from 1 species